rnacentral:rRNA from 1 species
UACGUAGGGGGGCAAGCGUUGUCCGGAUUUAUUGGGCGUAAAGCGCGUGUAGGCGGCCAGGUAGGUCCGCUGUGAAAACCCGAGGCUCAACCUCGGGACGUCGGCGGAAACCAUCUGGCUAGAGUUCGGAAGAGGCGAGUGGAAUUCCCGGUGUAGCGGUGAAAUGCGCAGAUAUCGGGAGGAACACCAAUGGCGAAGGCAGCUCGCUGGGACGUUACUGACGCUGAGACGCGAAAGCGUGGGGAGCAAACAGGG